rnacentral:rRNA from 1 species
UGGGGAAUAUUGGACAAUGGGCGAAAGCCUGAUCCAGCCAUGCCGCGUGUGUGAAGAAGGUCUUCGGAUUGUAAAGCACUUUAAGUUGGGAGGAAGGGCAUUAACCUAAUACGUUAGUGUUUUGACGUUACCGACAGAAUAAGCACCGGCUAACUCUGUGCCAGCAGCCGCGGUAAUACAGAGGGUGCAAGCGUUAAUCGGAAUUACUGGGCGUAAAGCGCGCGUAGGUGGUUUGUUAAGUUGGAUGUGAAAUCCCCGGGCUCAACCUUGGAACUGCAUUCAAAACUGACUGACUAGAUUAUGGUAGAGGGUGGUGGAAUUUCCUGUGUAGCGGUGAAAUGCGUAGAUAUAGGAAGGAACACCAGUGGCGAAGGCGACCACCUGGACUAAUACUGACACUGAGGUGCGAAAGCGUGGGGAGCAAACA